rnacentral:rRNA from 1 species
UAGGGAAUCUUCCGCAAUGGGCGAAAGCCUGACGGAGCAACGCCGCGUGAGUGAUGAAGGUCUUCGGAUCGUAAAACUCUGUUAUUAGGGAAGAACAAAUGUGUAAGUAACUAUGCACGUCUUGACGGUACCUAAUCAGAAAGCCACGGCUAACUAAGUGCCAGCAGCCGCGGUAAUACGUAGGUGGCAAGCGUUAUCCGGAAUUAUUGGGCGUAAAGCGCGCGUAGGCGGUUUUUUAAGUCUGAUGUGAAAGCCCACGGCUCAACCGUGGAGGGUCAUUGGAAACUGGAAAACUUGAGUGCAGAAGAGGAAAGUGGAAUUCCAUGUGUAGCGGUGAAAUGCGCAGAGAUAUGGAGGAACACCAGUGGCGAAGGCGACUUUCUGGUCUGUAACUGACGCUGAUGUGCGAAAGCGGGGGGAUCAAACAGG